rnacentral:rRNA from 1 species
AUAACUUCGGGAAACCGGAGCUAAUACCGGAUAAUAUUUCGAACCGCAUGGUUCGAUAGUGAAAGGUGGUUUUGCUAUCACUUAUAGAUGGACCCGCGCCGUAUUAGCUAGUUGGUAAGGUAACGGCUUACCAAGGCGACGAUACGUAGCCGACCUGAGAGGGUGAUCGGCCACACUGGAACUGAGACACGGUCCAGACUCCUACGGGAGGCAGCAGCC